rnacentral:rRNA from 1 species
UACGUAGGUGGCGAGCGUUGUCCGGAUUUACUGGGCGUAAAGGGAGCGUAGGUGGAUAUUUAAGUGGGAUGUGAAAUACUCGGGCUUAACCUGAGUGCUGCAUUCCAAACUGGAUAUCUAGAGUGCAGGAGAGGAAAGUAGAAUUCCUAGUGUAGCGGUGAAAUGCGUAGAGAUUAGGAAGAAUACCAGUGGCGAAGGCGACUUUCUGGACUGUAACUGACACUGAGGCUCGAAAGCGUGGGGAGCGAUCCGG